GACGAACGCUGGCGGCGUGCUUAACACAUGCAAGUCGAACGGAAAGGCCCUGCUUUUGUGGGGUGCUCGAGUGGCGAACGGGUGAGUAACACGUGAGUAACCUGCCCUUGACUUUGGGAUAACUUCAGGAAACUGGGGCUAAUACCGGAUAGGAGCUCCUGCUGCAUGGUGGGGGUUGGAAAGUUUCGGCGGUUGGGGAUGGACUCGCGGCUUAUCAGCUGGUUGGUGGGGUAGUGGCUUACCAAGGCUUUGACGGGUAGCCGGCCUGAGAGGGUGACCGGCCACAUUGGGCCUGAGAUACGGCCCAGACUCCUACGGGAGGCAGCAGUGGGGAAUAUUGCACAAUGGGCGGACGCCUGAUGCAGCAACGCCGCGUGCGGGAUGACGGCCUUCGGGUUGUAAACCGCUUUCGCCUGUGACGAAGCGUGAGUGACGGUAAUGGGUAAAGAAGCACCGGCUAACUACGUG
rnacentral:rRNA from 1 species